UACGGAGGGUGCAAGCGUUUAAUCGGAAUUACUGGGCGUAAAGCGCACGUAGGUGGUUUGCUAAGUCAGCUGUGAAAUCCCCGGGCUUAACCUGGGAACUGCAUUUGUGACUGCACGGCUAGAGUGUGUCAGAGGGGGGUAGAAUUCCACGUGUAGCAGUGAAAUGCGUAGAUAUGUGGAGGAAUACCGAUGGGCGAAGGCAGCCCCCUGGGAUAACACUGACGCUCAUGGCACGAAAGCCGUGGGGAGCAAACAGGAUAGAA
rnacentral:rRNA from 1 species